rnacentral:lncRNA from 1 species
CUUUCAGCAGUUGGAUACGUACCUGGACUGUUUUAACCCUGUUCUUACAACUCGUCUAAGGGGCUUCCAAAAUGAACGCUGCAGAUUGAUUAUUCAAGUCAGAAGAGUCCUGCCUAGGAAGGACUAUCUGGGCUGGCUGGCUUGGUUCUUCCAGAGCCACAAGCUCUUCAAAGCAUCUGCUGCCCAGAGCCUGGCUUCCUGCACUGUCCUGAAGCCUUCAUGAGGUGUCUGAAGGUAUUUAUUAAUGUGUUGGAUAAAGUCCAAGAGUUACUAAAAUAUGAGAGUAAAAAGAAAGGCCUCACAAAUUUAUGCUCUAAAUAA